GUGGGCGGUGCGGGGCGGCG
rnacentral:miRNA from 1 species